UACGUAGGGAGCGAGCGUUGUCCGGAUUUAUUGGGCGUAAAGGGCGUGUAGGCGGCCUGGUAAGUCGGGGGUGAAAACUCAGGGCUCAACCCUGAGACUGCCUUCGAUACUGCUGGGCUUGAGUGCUCUAGAGGGUAGUGGAAUUGCCGGUGUAGCAGUGAAAUGCGUAGAGAUCGGCAGGAACACCAGUGGCGAAGGCGACUGCCUGGGGAGUAACUGACGCUGAGGCGCGAAAGCUGGGGGAGCAAACAGG
rnacentral:rRNA from 1 species